UACGUAGGGUGCAAGCGUUAAUCGGAAUUACUGGGCGUAAAGCGUGCGCAGGCGGCUUUGCAGGACAGAUGUGAAAUCCCCGGGCUUAACCUGGGAACUGCAUUUGUGACUGCAUGGCUGGAGUGCGGCAGAGGGGGAUGGAAUUCCGCGUGUAGCAGUGAAAUGCGUAGAUAUGCGGAGGAACACCGAUGGCGAAGGCAAUCCCCUGGGCCUGCACUGACGCUCAUGCACGAAAGCGUGGGGAGCAAACAGG
rnacentral:rRNA from 1 species